AGUAAAUGAUAUCCUUAAAUAUUGCAACUGAGGAGCAGUUGUAUUUUGAUUCAAGCAUAAGUGUGCAAUUUAAUUAUCCUUUGAGUGAUUUGUAAUAACUUCAAAAUAUCAAAUUAUUUGAAUGGCUUAGCAACAAUAUUUUGUUGAUAAUUGCCUGAAGCUCUGAAAAAUAAAAGUGAUUUAAAUACUGUAUAAAAUAAUAUUAAUGAUCACUUCUGGAUGGGGUUGUGUUUGGAGCAGAGAAAACUAAAAGCCACAGGGUAGUGUGUCUCCUGACCAGAGCUGUGGCCACAUGAGUGUCACAGGGUGUCACCUGCCAUGCUUAAAAUAAGCUUUACCAUUCCAAUGCCGAUCUCACAUCAUCUGAGAGAUCUAACAGUCCUCACAAUUCAUGCAGAUUUAAUUAAUUAUAUUGAUUGAAUGUUGAUUUAUAUCAUCAUUUUAAUUUUGUAGGUAUUUUGAUCAAAUCCAUAUAGUAUUAGGAACUAUGAAGUCAGUACAGCGAUGGCAUUAUGUUGCCACAAUGAGAACCCCUGGUAUGAAAAUGAAUUGCAUAAUGUUGUGGAGAGAAAUAUUUAAGUUUCUUACAGUCUGGGUAAUUCUUCUGAUAUUUUAUUCAAAAAUGUAUAUUUAGUUUUAUGUUUAUGACUACUGAUUUUCUUAAUUAAGAAUUGUAUUUUGCAUUGUUUUGAUCUUUAUUCUGUAUAUUUUUGUCAGAAAAACACAGAUUUACAGAAUGUAGUUCAGGUGACUUGAAUAUUUGUGGUACGGAUUAUUCACCGAGUCCCAAUCAAUGUCUUUCUUAUGUAUGGUAAAUAAACAUUUGAUAAAAAUGUUAGUUUCCCUCUUGUUUAACCUGCAGUAUUUUCAUGUUAAGAGGGUGGGUUAAAAUCUUAUCCUUAUUUUUCAAAUCCUGACCAAGAAAAAUGCCAUUUGGCCUUCUAAUUUGUAAUUCCAAAUCAGAAAGCCAAAGUUUUUCAACAGCUAUUAUUUCUCAAAGUCGCCGUUCUGAGACAUCAUUUUAACAUGUCUUUGUGUAUGGUUUUGUUUUUGUUGAUUUGAGUAUUACAGCGAUGGCACUUCUUUUUUGCACCUCAUGGGUAUUGGGGUUUAAAGUAUCAGGCUGUUUGAUUUUUUUUCAUUUACAUAUCAGAAUAAUGAACUAUAGAUUACUAUAAAAUCCAUUUUUCUUACCUCAAACAGUUGAGGUUGAGUGAACAAUCUCUGGUGGAAAAUAAAACUUUUGACACAGAAAACAGAGCUCUUGGUAGUAAUGUAUGUAAACAAAAUUUUGCUUUCAAGUGCACCAUCACAUGUUAGCUAGUCUGAUAUAGUCUGUUAUGUUUUGAUCAUUUCCAACUAUUAUCAUUUUUUUUCAAAUAAAUAAAUAAUAAUAAUCAUUAAAAAAUAAGAAAUAACACCACCAGAGGUUAGAGAUGUAAGUGUGGGUCUACAGCCUAAGCAAAAAACACCAAAGCUCUUAUAAUUAUAACUUAUAAUUACAUGUUCACAUAUUCACAAUGCUUGACUGAAGUGUAAUUCCAUGACUUGGGUGCUAUUGUAAGUGAUCAAAAUUAAACAUUAUUUUUGCAUUAACAUUGUUUUUCAACAAUGUAUCUAAGAAAACAUGCAUUUAUUGACCCAUCUUA
ensembl:lncRNA